UACGUAGGGUGCAAGCGUUGUCCGGAAUUAUUGGGCGUAAAGAGCUCGUAGGCGGUCUGUCGCGUCUGCUGUGGAAAUCCAGGGCUCAACCCUGGACCUGCAGUGGGUACGGGCAGACUAGAGUGCGGUAGGGGAGAUCGGAAUUCCUGGUGUAGCGGUGAAAUGCGCAGAUAUCAGGAGGAACACCGGUGGCGAAGGCGGAUCUCUGGGCCGUAACUGACGCUGAGGAGCGAAAGCAUGGGGAGCGAACAGG
rnacentral:rRNA from 1 species